rnacentral:lncRNA from 1 species
GGGAGCAUCAAGAGGCAGCGCAUGAACUACGGGGCGCAUGAGCAGUGCUCGGCUUAGCCGCGCACCGGCAUUAUCCAAGAUCGCAAGAGCUGCAUGCAUUGCGCAUGCACCUUGGCGAUCGAUUAGCGUAGCUAGCUAAAGUUUUUAGUCAUCGCAAGCUUUGGGGUGUGGUCCUUUGGGUAUAAUGGUGUGCAUGAUGGGGUAAAAACGUGAAACUGCAAGAGAGGGAGAGUUUUAUGCAUCCCUUUUUAUGUUCUUGUGAGUGGAUGCAUGUAUGCUACGAACGCAGCUGUAUACCUUGGGAGAGGGGGGGUGAGAGCUCUUCCAAGUCAGCCUUCAUACGGGGAGGGUGAUGUGGGUGUACAAAUGUGCUAUCUCUUCUGGGUAUAAUGGAAGGUGGUAUUGGCUUACAUAGUUACAUUUGGAGUUUGAGUUGUGUCAUGCAGGAUUAUAAUGCUGAUCACGUUGCGUUCACAGAUUCAGAAACGUUGCAUUUUGGUUAAAAUCUUGACUUUAGUUGAGCAAAUGCAGAAGUUAUUAAGUCACUUUAAACUAGACUAUUUUCAUAUUUGUGCUAUUUGUAAGGCUCGUGGAGUUUCUAGACGUCCGUUGAGUCCCGCGCUAAUUGUUUGUGUUCACCUGUAAAACCUUUUUGUAUUAUCCCUCUAUAUAAGAUCAUGUAACAAUUAGC